UACGUAGGGUGCAAGCGUUGUCCGGAAUUAUUGGGCGUAAAGAGCUCGUAGGCGGUUGGUCGCGUCGGCUGUGAAAACCCGGAGCUCAACUCCGGGCCUGCAGUCGAUACGGGCCGACUUGAGUGUUGCAGGGGAGACUGGAAUUCCUGGUGUAGCGGUGAAAUGCGCAGAUAUCAGGAGGAACACCGGUGGCGAAGGCGGCAUCCUGGACCAACACUGACGCUGAGUGAGCGAAAGCCAGGGGAGCAAACGGG
rnacentral:rRNA from 1 species